UCGAUGAAAAUCAAUUUUCGGGUAUAGGGGUAAAAUGGUCAUUUUGCCAAAGUCUAGGGGCAAAAUGGUUAUUUUACCAAAGAUGUAAAUUUAUGAUUGCUUAAUCCUAAUUAGUGACUAAAUAGUGCAUAUUGUCAUUGUAGGACAAGAAUUACCAAAUUCGAACCUAGAUCGAGGGAAGGCCAAGCAAAUCGACUAAACCGAAUAGCCAAGUACUUUUUGGAAACCGAGUGUGAUCAAGCUAACUUAAAGAUCUCUUAAAGUCAAAGAUACCGAUCACACUAUCGGCCGCAAUACCCGAUAUAGUUGGACUUAUAUUUUUUUAUGGUGGCAUGUAUAGGGCUAGACUAAGAUGUUGUAUUAAGAGAAUGAUUCGUGUAUUUUGGCUUAAGUCAAAGGCCCUUCAUUUUGUAAUCAAGCCUGGAAUAAUGGCUAUUAUUCAUUUUGAUGAAUGUAUAUAAUGUUCUUUCUAUGGACGAA